AUACGUAGGGGGCGAGCGUUGUCCGGAAUGAUUGGGCGUAAAGGGCGCGUAGGCGGCGCGGUAAGUCUGGAGUGAAAGUCCUGCUUUCAAGGUGGGAAUUGCUUUGGAUACUGCCGCGCUUGAGUGCAGGAGAGGUUAUCGGAAUUCCCGGUGUAGCGGUGAAAUGCGUAGAGAUCGGGAGGAACACCAGUGGCGAAGGCGGGUAACUGGACUGCAACUGACGCUGAGGCGCGAAAGUGUGGGGAGCAAACAGGAUUAGAUACCCCGGUAGUCCUGGCCGUAAACGAUGGGUACUAGGUGUGGGAGGUAUCGACUCCUUCCGUGCCGGAGUUAACGCAAUAAGUACCCCGCCUGGGGAGUACGGCCGCAAGGCUUAAACUCAAAGGAAUUGACGGGG
rnacentral:rRNA from 1 species